UUCCGGUUGAUCCCGCCGGACCAAACUGCUAUUGGAAUCUGACUAAGCCAUGCAAGUUUUUCGCAAGAAAGCGAAAGGCUGAGUAACACGUAGGUAACCUGCCUUAAAGAGGGAAAUAACCUCGGGAAACUGAGGCUAAUGUCCCAUAGGCUUAAGAUACUGUAAUGUUCUUAAACUCAAAGCUUCGGCACUUUAAGAUGGGCCCGCGGCCUAUCAGGUUGUUGGCGGUGUAAUGGACCACCAAGCCUAAGACGGGUAGGGGCAGUGAGAGCUGGAGCCCCCAGAUGGGUACUGAGACACGGACCCAAGCCCUACGGGGUGCAGCAGGCGCGAAACCUCCGCAAUGCACGCAAGUGUGACGGGGGAUUCCAAGUGUUUCCCGUUUUUCGGAAAACUUUUCUAGAGUUUAAAUCGCUCUAGGAAUAAGGACUGGGUAAGACGAGUGCCAGCCGCCGCGGUAAUACUCGCAGUCCGAGUGGUUUGGAGUUUUAUUGGGUCUAAAGCGCUCGUAGCCGGAUAAGUAAGUUCUCUGUGAAAUCUGGCAGCUUAACUGUCAGGCGUGCAGAGGAUACUGCGUAUCUUGAGAUCGGGAUGGGCCAAGGGUACUCUUGGGGUAAGGGUGAAAUCUAAUAAUCCUAAGGGGACCACCAGUGGCAAAGGCGCUUGGCUAAAACGAUUCUGACGGUGAGGAACGAAAGCUAGGGGAGCGAACGGGAUUAGAUACCCCGGUAGUCCUAGCCGUAAAUGCUGCAGACUAGGUGCUGCAUUCUCCUCGUGAGAGUGCAGUGCCGUAGGGAAGCCGUUAAGUCUGCCACCUGGGAAGUACGGUCGCAAGGCUGAAACUUAAAGGAAUUGGCGGGGGAGCAC
rnacentral:rRNA from 1 species